UUACAUACCUUGAAGGAAAACAGCAAGAUCCCAAAGGUGUUUUUAGGAUGGAACUUAUCCAUUUGCACUGUUAAUGUGAUGACCACUGAAAUUUCCCUAAACUUAGAAGAUUCAACUACAUAAACUGUGGUGGGGAAUGCAGCAUUCAUGCUCUUCCUUA
ensembl:snRNA U1 U1 spliceosomal RNA